GGUUCUGGGCGGAGGUGGCAGGCAUGCCCAUGAAUCAUAAGCCCCUCUUGUUCAGAACUGGAGAGCUGGUUCUCACAGAGCCACUCACGGCUUUCACGCAGGAUGGGCCCAAACGUUUCCAAGGAGGACCACUUCCCUCAUCCCACUAGAUGAACAGGAUUUACUGAUCAGAUGACAAGCUUUCUCAGACUGACCAGUUUACCGCUCCUUCUCCCCUUGUCCACCACGCUUCGGUUCUGGGUUCAGCGAGCAUCUUCAUCGGCGCUCUUGUUGUCACAGACACCCGCCACUUGGAGCCACCCGAUGCCAGGGUGUCCUGAGCUACAGCACGGAGGACGGCUGUGUGAUGAGGCCACACAGAAGGCCAUUGGGGCUGGCACUGUGUAGCCUGGCACGUCAUGCCGGGGACGACAGAGGGCUCGUAUGACAAGGGGACACAACGGGCUGAACUAUCAUUUAUCCCACUUCUGGAGCUGAGACUGCCGACUCCGAGGUCAGGAAUGAGCAACACCGACCCACAGUACCAUGUGGCGCUGUGUCCACAACAUCUCCUUGCUCUUGGGUACCACCCCCAGGGGCACAGACAGAAGCCCUGGACUGUGGAGUCUGCUCCAAGCUACCUGAAAUACCUCAAUAAGCGCUGAUAUCCUUUAGGUACUUAUGUGCUUCUUAUAAGAAACAGAUUCUGUCAUUCUCCUGAGUUUUCCUGUACGUCUGAGAAUAUAACCAAGACAAAAGAGAAGCCCCAUUCCUGUGCAUGCUGGAUGAAUGGGUAAAAACUUAAAGAUAAAGGGAAUUGUGGAGAAACCUCAUAACACCCUAAGGAUUCUUGGUGUAAAAGUUCCUGAUGCCACUCUGCCACUCCCGAACCAGCUGCAGACACAGAUCUGCCCUUCCCCAGGCUGAUUUAGCGCGACCAGAUAGGCAUCUAAGAGCUGUGCUAUCUCCCUCCGAACUGAAUCAGUGCCCAACUGGUUACCUCCCUGGACUCCUCAGAGACAUCACCAAGUAGAAGUCCUUUCUAGGGGUGACAGCACCCUUCAGGAAGCCUAGCAUCACCUGAGAGUGCCACCCCAUUCCCUCUGCCUUUGGCAGGUUCAUAGGAGGACUCAGGAAAGAGGGGUGUCCUGGGAGGUAGCAGUCCAGGUGCGAGUGAGGAACUGUGCCCGGGGGUAAGGGGCGGGGGCAAGGAGAAGGCCUGAGAAUGAAGGAGCUUCCGGAGACGCUGCUGCACAGGUCUGAGCUGGAAGGCUGAGCUUGAAACCGAUUGAUGAAACAGAAACGCGUUCUUAGUGGUGAUCAAACUCCCAGAUUAACUCAGUUUUCUUUCUUUCUUUUUAAAUUCAUCUCGGUAGCAUCUGUUUCCCUCCAGGCACAUGAAACUUUUGCUUUCUCUCUUCUCGUUCAGUCCUAUUCCAGAGGCAAGAGGAGUGAGAAGCACCGGGUUCUGAUUCUGUGCCAGAUUAGGUCAUGAGUGGGUGGACUGUUCUCCUUACACGCAUCACAUCUAACCGAUAAACAUGUUGAUCUGACAGUAACUGAGUGUUCUGAAUGAGGAACCACAGCAGUGAGGAGCUGUGAAAGGCACAGUCUCUGCUUUGAGGAGCUUCUGUGGGACUGAUCAGGCCCGCAUGGCUAUACCUAGCUUUAGGCACCUGCCCUGAAGUCUGCACAGGUCAAGUUUUUCUAAAUGGAGGUUUCAGCCCUUACUGACUCACUGGGUAAUCAGAUCCUCUGUUUUCCUUUAAGACUCAUCUUCCACUGGUAACAGCUUUUGAUAGUUAGCCUCUGGUUUUUCAUUCCUCCCUCCUAGUUACGUGCUCCAGAAAGAGUUUCAUAUUUAAAUAAAUCCAAGCGUGAAUCUCCUGUAAAAUGAAGACUAUUUCUGUAAAACGGGUAAGUCUUCCCAGAUUAGUGUGCCUCAGCUGGGGCUGGUACAAAUCUUUUUUUUUUUUUUCCUAGAAUUGGUCUCCAUUGUACGUUCCAUUUUCUUUUCAUCUUUCUUUCUUUUUUUUUUUUAAAUCACCAAAGAAGAGGUUUGCUGCCUAAGCUGGAAAAAGGUAGAUUACCAAUCUCUGUCUUGCUGAAUUAAAAAUUCUUUAAGGUCCUACAAAUUCAGGUAAUUGUUACCAAAGAUUUGCCUUGAAAGGGAAGAGGAGGAAUCAGGCAUACCGUGACCAGCCCAGGGAGCCCUGGAGGUGGGCUUCACCGCCUAGGUAAGGUCAUUCCUGAGGAGAUAACAUCUGUCUCGCUGCUGACAGGCCUCUCCCAUGACCACAUUUUCAGAACUGAGAACUGGUGGCAGUCUGAUGCAUGGCCUGGCAAAGGGCCAGUGUCUUCUGUCUCAGAAAUUGAGAUUGUCCCAGAAGGCUGGUGCCACAUGGCUGUCCACAGCGCAGCUCGAAGAAGCCUUUCGCUGCUACAUUUGGCUUAGUAGGUGAAUCCUGGGGUCUCUCAAUUGUUUCACCCCUCAAUUCCCUCCUGCUGCCCACGCUCCUUGGACACCAGCGUUUGUCACAUUGAUUAAAGCAGACGUUCAAACAGUCCUCCAAACUGACCUAUCCACAGUUUUCAUUUUCGUUUCUCCCCAUCAA